rnacentral:ncRNA from 1 species
GGUUUGGUCCUAGCCUUGAGAUCAGUUAUUUCUUAAUAUACACAUGCAAGUAUCCGCCCCCCUGUGAGAACGCCCUUAAAUCCCCUAUAGGGAUAAGGAGCUGGUAUCAGGCACGAAACUCUGCCCAAAACACCUAGCCAUGCCACACCCACAAGGGAAUUCAGCAGUGAUUAACAUUGAACAUAAGCGACAGCUUGACUCAGUUAAAGAAAAGAGAGCCGGCAAAUCUGGUGCCAGCCGCCGCGGUUACACCACGUGACUCAAAUUGAACUCAGUCGGCGUAAAGCGUGAUUAAAGUUUUAUAAUAUUGAAGUUAAACUAAAACUAAGCUGUGACACGCUUGUUUUUAAGAAAACCUAAUACGAAAGUUACUCCAACUAGAUCUACUUGAACUCACGACAAUUAGGACACAAACUGGGAUUAGAUACCCCACUAUGCCUAAUCGUAAACCUUAAUUUACAUUAAUAUCGCCAGGGAACUACGAGCAAAGCUUAAAACCCAAAGGACUUGACGGUACCCCAAAUCCACCUAGAGGAGCCUGUCCUAUAAUCGAUACCCCCCGUUUAACCUCACCAUUUUUAGCCUCUCAGUCUGUAUACCUCCGUCGUCAGCUUACCACGUGAGCGCACACUAGUGAGCUUAAUGUCAUUACAUCAACACGUCAGGUCAAGGUGCAGCAUAUAAAAUGGGAAGAGAUGGGCUACACUUUCUAACAUAGAAUAUACGAAAGACUAUUUAUGAAACCUAGUCCAAAGGCGGAUUUAGAAGUAAAGAAAAACAAGAGCGUUUUCUUUAACUAGGCACUGGGGUGUGUACACACCGCCCGUCACCCUCUUCAAAGCUUAUUUAUAGUACCUAACCUAAUUUUGCUAUAUAGAAGAGGCAAGUCGUAACAUGGUAAGUAUACCGGAAGGUGUGCUUGGAA